rnacentral:rRNA from 1 species
GACGAACGCUGGCGGCAUGCCUAAUACAUGCAAGUCGAGCGAACAUUAUAAGGAGCUUGCUUCUUAUAAUGUUAGCGGCGGAUGGGUGAGUAACACGUGGGCAACCUGCCCUGCAGAUGGGGAUAACUCCGGGAAACCGGGGCUAAUACCGAAUAAACAGUUUGUUCGCAUGAAACAAACUCUGAAAGACGGCUUACGCUGUCACUGCAGGAUGGGCCCGNGGCGCAUAGCUAGUUGGUGGGAUAACGGCCUACCAAGGCGACGAUGCGUAGCCGACCUGAGAGGGUGAUCGGCCACACUGGGACUGAGACACGGCCCAGACUCCUACGGGAGGCAGCAGUAGGGAAUCUUCCACAAUGGACGAAAGUCUGAUGGAGCAAUGCCGCGUGAGUGAAGAAGGUUUUCGGAUCGUAAAACUCUGUUGUGAGGGAAGAACAAGUACGGGAGUAAC